GAUGAACGCUGGCGGCGUGCCUAAUACAUGCAAGUCGAGCGAACGGACGAGAAGCUUGCUUCUCUGAUGUUAGCGGCGGACGGGUGAGUAACACGUGGAUAACCUACCUAUAAGACUGGGAUAACUUCGGGAAACCGGAGCUAAUACCGGAUAAUAUUUUGAACCGCAUGGUUCAAAAGUGAAAGACGGUCUUGCUGUCACUUAUAGAUGGAUCCGCGCUGCAUUAGCUAGUUGGUAAGGUAACGGCUUACCAAGGCAACGAUGCAUAGCCGACCUGAGAGGGUGAUCGGCCACACUGGAACUGAGACACGGUCCAGACUCCUACGGGAGGCAGCAGUAGGGAAUCUUCCGCAAUGGGCGAAAGCCUGGCGGAGCAACGCCGCGUGAGUGAUGAAGGUCUUCGGAUCGUAAAACUCUGUUAUUAGGGAAGAACAAAUGUGUAAGUAACUGUGCACAUCUUGACGGUACCUAAUCAGAAAGCCACGGCUAACUACGUG
rnacentral:rRNA from 1 species